AGGCAAGUUACAGAAGAGCCUGGACCAUGCAGUUGGCUCAUCAGGUAGACAUUAACUUCUGCAAUGUGCUGGACGCUCUUUUAAGUUUACAGGCAUAAACUUUCCCCUUGUAGGAAGACACCUGAAAUUGACCUACCUGGAACCACCAUCUAUAUUCUGGGAUACUGUGCUUCAGUCUUUUAGAAACUCUUUGAGGCUCUUGGCAGCUGCGAGAAAAGUCCUAGCCCACAAGAUGCUGUGAAGACCAUUUCUUUCUCAAAUCCUCAUUUUCCAAGGAACUUUUUGAAGAUAACCAUCCUAUCACAA
rnacentral:lncRNA from 1 species